GGGCCAAUGGCGGAGAGCGGUGCGGUGCGGUUAGGCUGCGCUGGCUGAGGCGAGCGGAGCUUUGUGAGGCAGGUAGCGCUGGUUCCUGCCCGGCUCUGCUUCUUGUGGACCCCCGCCCCUGAGAGCAGCCCCGCCCCCCGGUAGGGCCCGAUCCUCGAGCGGCCCCCGGAGCUGUGGAGGUCGUCCCGCGCUGCGGGCCAGGGCCCGACCCAGGUCUCGCCAGGCUCCCGAGCCCGCCGCCCGCCGCCCAGCUCUCAAGGCAGGAGUGCUGGGGUGAGCUGUGGGCCCGGAGUCAGGCUGAUGCAACGUCCCUGCCCCCCGCUUGCCUUGCGCUGCCCCCCGCUGCGAGCCGGGGGGGUUGGCUGACCUGCUAGGGCCUUGUGCUGCCCCCGGCCCCGGCUCCCCUCCGGGCUUUGGGCCUUCUCAGCCCUUCCCCCAGCGCCUCACCAUGGCCGGUGCCAUCGCGUCUCGGAUGAGCUUCAGCUCCCUGAAGCGAAAACAGCCGAAAACCUUCACGGUGCGGAUUAUUACCAUGGACGCCGAGAUGGAGUUCAACUGUGAGGUGAAGUGGAAAGGGAAAGAUUUGUUUGACUUGGUGUGCAGGACACUAGGACUCCGAGAAACCUGGUUCUUUGGACUUCAGUACACGAUCAAGGAUACCGUGGCCUGGCUCAAAAUGGACAAGAAGGUUCUGGAUCAUGACGUUCCAACAGAGGAGCCGGUCACUUUUCACUUCCUUGCUAAAUUUUACCCUGAGAAUGCGGAGGAGGAGCUGGUUCAGGAGAUCACACAGCACUUGUUCUUUCUGCAGGUAAAGAAACAGAUUUUAGAUGAGAAGAUCUACUGUCCUCCUGAGGCAUCUGUGCUGCUGGCCUCCUAUGCCGUCCAAGCCAAGUAUGGUGAUUACGAUCCCACUGUUCAUCAGCGUGGCUUCUUAGCACAAGAGGAAUUGCUUCCAAAACGGGUAAUUAACCUGUACCAGAUGACUCCAGAAAUGUGGGAGGAAAGAAUAACAGCCUGGUAUGCAGAACAUCGAGGCAGGGCAAGAGAUGAAGCUGAAAUGGAAUAUUUGAAGAUCGCUCAGGACUUGGAGAUGUAUGGAGUAAACUACUUUGCAAUUAGGAAUAAGAAGGGCACCGAGCUGUUGCUUGGGGUUGAUGCACUGGGGCUUCACAUCUACGACCCAGAAAACAGGCUGACCCCCAAAAUCUCUUUUCCAUGGAAUGAGAUCCGGAAUAUCUCUUACAGUGAUAAGGAGUUUACAAUUAAGCCACUGGACAAAAAGAUCGAUGUCUUUAAAUUCAAUUCAUCAAAGCUGCGUGUGAAUAAGCUGAUUCUUCAGCUGUGUAUUGGAAACCACGAUCUAUUCAUGAGGAGGAGAAAGGCAGACUCUUUGGAGGUCCAGCAGAUGAAAGCACAGGCCAGGGAGGAGAAGGCCAGAAAGCAGAUGGAACGACAGCGGCUGGCUCGAGAGAAGCAGAUGAGGGAAGAGGCAGAGAGAACAAGGGAUGAGUUGGAGAGGAGGUUGUUGCAGUUAAAGGAGGAGGCGACAAUGGCCAAUGAGGCUCUGAUGAGAUCUGAAGAGACCGCAGACUUGCUGGCUGAAAAAGCGCAGAUCACAGAAGAGGAAGCCAAGCUGCUGGCUCAGAAAGCAGCUGAGGCCGAGCAGGAGAUGCAGCGGAUCAAAGCCACGGCAAUCCGGACAGAGGAGGAGAAACGGUUGAUGGAACAAAAGGUCCUGGAGGCAGAGAUGUUGGCAUUGAAGAUGGCAGAAGAAUCGGAGAGAAGGGCAAAGGAAGCUGAUCAGCUAAAGCAGGACCUUCAAGAGGCUCGAGAGUCUGAGCGGAGAGCAAAGCAGAAGCUCUUGGAGAUCACCAGCAAGUCGUCCUACACGCAGCCCAUGAACUCAGGUAUGACAGCGCUGCCUGCCGACCUGCCAAGCUUCAACCUCAUCAGUGAGAGCCUCUCCUUUGACUUCAAGGAUACAGACAUGAAGAGACUUUCCAUGGAAAUAGAGAAAGAGAAAGUGGAGUACAUGGAGAAGAGCAAGCACCUGCAGGAGCAACUGAAUGAGUUGAAGACUGAGAUUGAGGCGCUGAAACUGAAGGAGAGGGAGACAGCGCUGGAUAUACUGCACAACGAGAAUGCCGACCGAGGCAACAGCAAGCACAACACCAUUAAAAAGCCUCAAGCCCAGGGCAGAAGACCUAUCUGCAUUUGAGACUUCAAAGCACAUCAGUAAAUCCAUCUGAGUCUAAACCACCUCCAUUGAGCACUGGAUUCUGCUUCCCAGGCAAAGAUGAGACGCAUUCCCUGCCCUACAAUGGAGAAAGUGCUCUCAGAGGUGCUGCGUGUCCUCCGCUCCUCCUGCCUUCAGUGCAAGUCAAAGAUGCUCAGCUCUUUGCAGGAUCUGGCCCUAAAUAAGAGCAGGCAGCUCUCAGCUCACCUUGCAGAGCACCAAGUCCCGUGUGGCCUUCUUCGAGGAGCUCUAGGAGGUGAUCCAACCAUCCUGCACUGCUGCUUCCAGCGAGCCAGCCACUUGCCAGCCAGAACCUCCUUCAGCAAGGCCAUAUAGGCACAUCCCACUGGCUGGGGAGCCAGGAACACAGCCUCUCUACAUGCUGGCUGAGUGCAUUCUGGGACAUGAUGCUGCUCCUGUGCACUGGACUUGGUCCGUCAGCUGUCCGUGGAUUUCAGUGUGAUGAUCUCUAGUUUAGAGUAUCCUAAUCCCCCUUGUGGGUUUUUAACUAGCUACCCUCUUCUGCCCUUUAUAAUGCAGAGCUGUGUAUCCCUUGCAGUCUUUUUAAGCAGUAUUUGUAUUUGGCCGUGACUAUCAUGUGACCUCUUGGGAGAGGGUGAGCAGGCGCGUGUGCCUUGGAAGGGACGCCUUUCCCUUCCGGCCCUGCUUUAGGGAAUACCACAAAUAAUGUGCACUUCUGCAGGUGGAGAUAUGGCGCCUUCAGCAGUUCGGGAGCCAGGCGGCGAGAUGUGCGCUACCCUCUCCAUACCCCCAGUACUUCUGCCUGACUUUUGGAGGGGCUGAGUACUGGUAGCCCCCAUUGGUGACACACUCAGUGAUAUAAUGGAUGCUUUAAUCAGUGUUACAACCUCCCCUACAAGGGCGUGAUUAGGUCUGGUCUUCCUGCCUGUCAGAGAAUCUAAUAGACCUAGAAGGGGUUCAGAGAUAAGCCGUGGAAAUAGGUUUGGAACGACUUCUGUAUAAGGAGAGAUUGAAAAGACUCUAGCUGUUUACCUUAGAGAGCUGCCGCAUAGCGGGGACACUACAAAGGUGUGCAAACUGAUGAAUGGUAUGACGCAAGAGCAAGGGCAUAGUCAAGGAAACGGAAAAGUGGCAUAUCCAGCACUGAUCAAAGGAAAUGCUUUCCCACACAGUGUGCAAUGAGCCUCUGGAACUCCUUGCUACAAGAUUCCACUGACACCAAGAAUUUUGUAGGAUUAGAUCUUUGUCUGUAUACAAAAAUAGCCAGAAAUCUAGCAGUGGACAUUUACAAAGUGAAGGGGUUCUGGAAGAGAUAUGAACCUUGUAGAUCAGGAGGGAAUUUCCUCUGUGCCCUGGUCAUCCCAUAGCUACCUAUUGCAGCCUUCUUUUCACUUUCCUCUGAAGCAUCUGGCACUGGCCACUGGUGGAGAUGGGCUAGAAGGACCAUGGGUCUGAUCCACUCUGUCAGUUCCUGUUCAGGGGAGCUGCAUGUGCUCAGCCUCUCUGCACAUCACCUCCCUUGCUCCAUUUUAACUCCCCUGGUAGAGUGGUAACCAGCUCCCCACGAGCUGGGACUCUACUGAGAGUAGUCCCAGCGUCUCUUUACUGCUGAGUCCUGUUGAGUGAGAGUGGCAGGAGCAGCCUUGCUCUGGUGGUGGCAGAGCCUCUGGUUUCCAGUCCCUGAAGGAGCAUGUUGUGAACACUCAUGCACCCGUGCCUGCCGUGAGAGAGCCAAGCAACAGGGUUGAGUUUCUAAGCAAUCAAGGUGAGGUUGGCUGCUAAAUGAAGUAGCUCUCUCCUAGCCAGGGACUCUUGGCAGCUAUGUCGAAGAAGUCAGUGGCAUCCUCAGCUCUUGAAAGGGCAUAGGGCUGCUGCCUUGGGAGGAGAGGAGUAACUCCUGGCAUAUGCUUUGUCAUCAUCCUGUCUCCUUGGCCAGUGCUAGCACCCAUCCCGCCCUGCUUUGUAUUCUCUGUUUUGGGGGGUGAGUGGGGAGAGGUGCUAGAAAUCACUUUCAAUUUAUCUCCCAGGUGCUGGAAGGAGGGGGGCUGCCGCACCCGCUGGCUUGAAGUAGUUUUCACUAUAUCGAGGGUUUACAGUUUGGUUCAGUGGCUCCCAGCACCCCCCCACCAUACAAAUUGUUCCAGCACCACUGUUGGCAGCCCCUCAU